CUGCCCUGAGCUUCCUCCAAACUCUAGGUUGAUUCUGAGGUUAGCAGAUCUCCUCAGCCAGGGUGUCCUCACAUGAGAAAGCCAAAUGCAAAAGCAAGCCACUUUCUCCAUCUCUGAAGCCCCUGAACACCACUUUGAAAGGGCUGCUUACUCGUCUUUUCUACCUCCUGUCAACUGAUACAGCAAAUUUCCCCCACUGGGAAAUAGGGGUUUUAAAAUAUUUCUUCCUAGGAGAACUUUAAACAUCAGGGUUUGUGUUUGCAUUUACCUAUGAUUUUUGUUUUCUUUUCUUAACUGUGCAUCACAGCAUCUUUUCAAUUGUUUCUUGUUUAUUUCCUUCUUUUAGCCUAAUAAUUAAUUUACUUUUCAUUUUACUUCAUUUAAAGAUGACCAAGAUGUUGGUAAUAAUAUUUUUUUUGUUGUUGUUAUUUUCUACAAACUGUUUUUAUUCCAGGUCUUUUGCUUUCUGCCAAGGUUACCCCUGAAGAGUGGCACACGGCCCUUUGAGACUUCCAUGGUGCCCUCUCAUUUUCUCUUUUCUCUUAGUCAUUAAGACAUUAACCUAGUUUGUCUAUGACGACAGCUUAAUCCUGACAUUGUGGCCCAUGCAACUUGUGUCCAUUCUGGCCCAUGCAACCUGUUCACUGAACCUGAGGCCAUGGUUACUCGGUGGCUAAACUGAAGAGACAACCAGGUUUUUAAAAUAUUUCUUCCUUUAUGAAAAAUAAGCCUAUUCAAUUUUGGCCACCAAAUAUUCGAAAUGUAUAGGUGGAAAAUGUUACUUUUCCAGGGUUUGGCAAGUAAUAGUCUUUACUUCCAAUUUAAUUAGUAAGCAUGUAUUGAGUACCUACUGCAUACAUUGUACCGUACUGAUAUUUGAGGAAAAGUAGUUCCCAAAGUCAGCAUUGUUAUGUGGACUCAUUUGUGCCUGCUCAUAGUGCUUGCGGAAGACUAGAUACUCAGAAUGCUAGACAGAACUCGAGAAAAAGAGUGAUCCAAGGAAAUCAGGAGAGCUGGCAAAGGUGUUAUGGCAAGGGAUGUUAUUCCAGUUGAAGCUUGAUAUGCAAGAAAAGGGUUAGAAGUGUGGACAUAUUUGGAAAUGGCUUGAAGAGUCUUUCUCACAAUAUCUUCAGUCUCAAAUCACAGUCACUUACUUAAGAUAGAAGUUGGUUUUCUUUCUUAUAAAAUGAAUCUGGAGCUGGGAGGUACAGGGAUAACUUAGUAGUUUCAAAUUGUCAGGCACCCAGGCUGCUUCUUUCUUUUCCACCAUUUUUAGUCCUUGGCUUCCAUUCUCAAAGUCAUCUCAGUGUCACAACAUGGCUGCUGUAAUACAGCCAUUCCAUCUGUGUUCUAGGCAGCAUAAGGGAGGAAGAACCAAAACUCCCAAAGAGGAGCACCUUCUGGGUGAGUCUUUCUGGAAACCCCACCAAUCACUUCUCCCCAUAGUUCAUUGGCCACUCCUAGCUGUAAGGGAGGCAGGGAAAGGUAGUCUUCUGUCUGAACAUGUUACUUCCACAUAAAAUUGAGGUCAUUUGUAAGAGAGAAAUUUGGCAGACAAUGAGCAGUCCCUGCCAGAGUCUGAAAUGAGUUUACGUGGUCAAUUCUGUUGACUCUGCAUUGACUGCUUCCCACCCAACUAUAAGAUGUUUAUAAAGGAUGCUCUGAAAGAAUAGUUUAAUUAAAAAAUAAGGUGGGGGGCGGGGAUAGAACCAAGAAGAAAUAAAUCUAUAGUAGAGAUUUAAAUUUCAGCUUUAUAAACAUGAGCUUGUUAUAAAGUGUCAAGGGGCAACAAAUGAAUCAGAAAUGCCCAAAAGAUGAAAUCCCUCUCUUUUCUUUCUCUUUCUCUCUCUUUCUUCCCUCUUCCCUCACUCCUGCUCUUCUUCCUCCUCCUCCUUCCUCUGCCCCUCUCCCUUAGCUUUCCCUUGAGUUUGAUAAAUGCUGUAUCUAAGAGAGAUUCCUAUUGCCCCUCAAUCAUUCCACCUUCUGGUAAUGUGGCUAUAACCAGGAGAUUUACUAGCUAGAAUUAUUCUGUUUCUGAAUGAGAGCCCCAUAUUGGCAUUCCAAAGCCUCAGCAGUUGCAUUUCCCCACCACGCCUCCUUAAUGCCAUUUCAAAGAUAUCAUGUUUCGUAUUUAAAGACAUUCUUCAGUGUGGGAAAAAUGUGCAAAGUUCUUUUUAUUGGUUCUUCUCCACUGUCCACAGACUAUUUCCCCCAUCCCUUUCUCCACAGGAAAAAAUAUAUAUGUUUCAUUUAAGGUGAAGCAGACGCUUCUUUCCCUCCUUGAAUUCUAACUUUUAAAGCCUUCUGCAUUCACUCAGUCAAUAAAAUACUAUCACCAUG